GACGAACGCUGGCGGCGUGCUUAACACAUGCAAGUCGAACGGAAAGGCCGUGCUUUUGUGGGGUGCUCGGGUGGCGGACGGGUGAGUAACACGUAAGUACCCUGUACUUGACUUUGGGGUAACUUAAGGAAAGUGGAGCUAAUACCGGAUAGGAGCUAUUGCUGCAUGGUGGGGGUUGGAAAGUUUCGGCGGUUGGGGAUGGAAUAGCGGCUUAUCGGCUUGUUGGUGGGGUAGUGGGUGACCACGGCUUUGACGGGUAGCCGGCCUGAGAGGGGGAGCUGCCACGUUGCGACUGAGCUACGGCCCAGUCUCCAACCGGAGGCAGCGGUGGGGAAUAUUGUACAAUGGGCGGAAGCCUGGUGCAGCAACGCCGCGUGCGGUAUGUCGUCCUGCGGGUUGGAAACCGCUUUUCUCUUUGACGAAGCGUUAGUGACGGUAACGGGUAAAGAAGCACCGGCUAACUACGUG
rnacentral:rRNA from 1 species